GAGGGAGCAAGGACACGAUACCAACAAAUUGAUUAAUACUAUGGAGGUGAUACUGGUGAUCGCGAUGGAUGGGAAUUGCUGCUGAAAAUGUAAGCAUCCGAGCGUACAAGACGGUCUUUCACCUAUUGAUUGAGAGGUUGAGAUAGGGCCUACCACCAUCCCUAAAUCUAGCAAGGCAGGUGCCCUAAAAUGUGGUAAAACUAACUUUUUACGACUCUUUUGGUACAACCUUUUACACUCUUUGAUAAAAAGCAAGACGGAUAUUUCUUUUCAUCUAGUUGUGACACACGAAGGGCUCAUUUGGUACAUCUUCACCAGCUCACCUCUCUGACUCCACUCUGAAUUUGGAAAUUAAGUUUUG
rnacentral:lncRNA from 1 species